rnacentral:lncRNA from 1 species
GGUUAUGCCAUAGGGACCAGAUGUUGAAAAGAGCUUAUCUUACUAAACCACCGGGCGGGGGGGGGGGGGCGCCGCAAACCAAAAGUAUGUAUGGUCUCUGAAGUGAUGGAAAAUUACUGUGAGUUGGAUUUUUUUUUUUUAAAUGCUAUAUAAACCCUUGGCUUUGAGUGCUCGGGGUCCUUGUAGAAGCUUGCUGCGUUGGGCAGAUACUCGGACUCCAGCUAGCUGGAAAUAAACCUCGAUGUGUGACUUGCAUUAUCACUGUGUUCUUUGGAAUGAAGUCAUUAUGCACAGCCCACAUGCAAGGAUUGGAGAGUUAUAAUGCACCUCCUUGGUGUAUGCACUGCCAAGUUUUCUGAAGAGACUGAGAUUUUACCCUAUGUGAUGGCUAUUGAGCUGGCCUAUUAUGGUUUCAUGAAAGCUGGCAGAAGACACGAGAUUUCUGGUCGAAAACAGGACUUUACUCAUGGCACACCAAGAAACUUGAGCUUCUUGUAUCAGUUCUCCAUGUCCCCAAAGUCCCAGAGACAUGAAGCAGGUGGGCCUAGACAGAUGCCUACCCACAAGGUCGUGGGUUAUGUUACAGGUGAGGAACACUGA